AAGGAAUAUUGGUCAAUGGACGCAAGUCUGAACCAGCCAUGCCGCGUGAAGGAUGAAGGUCCUCUGGAUUGUAAACUUCUUUUAUCUGGGACGAAAACGGGAUUUUUAUCUCAAUUGACGGUACCAGAGGAAUAAGCACCGGCUAACUCCGUGCCAGCAGCCGCGGUAAUACGGAGGGUGCGAGCGUUAUCCGGAUUUACUGGGUUUAAAGGGUGCGUAGGUGGGCUUAUAAGUCAGUGGUGAAAUCUCCGAGCUUAACUUGGAAACUGCCGUUGAUACUAUAGGUCUUGAAUUAUCUGGAGAGAAGCGGAAUAUGUCAUGUAGCGGUGAAAUGCUUAGAUAUGACAUAGAACACCAAUUGCGAAGGCAGCUUACUACAUAUAAAUUGACGCUGAGGCACGAAAGCGUGGGGAUCAAACA
rnacentral:rRNA from 1 species